GAUGAAGAACGUAGCGAAAUGCGAUACGUAGUGUGAAUUGCAGAAUUCCGUGAACCAUCAAAUCUUUGAACGCAUAUUGCGCUCGAGGCUUCGGCCGAGAGCAUGUCUGCCUCAGCGUCGGUAUUACCCCUCGCUUCUCAACCCCUGGUUGAUGCCUGCCUGCCUUUGCAGUUGGCUAGAAGCGGAUCUGGCUUUCCCAAUUGCCUUUGGUAGUUGGGUCAGCUGAAGCACAGAGGCUUGAGCAAGGACCCUUAUUUGGCUUCAACUGGAUAGGUAGAACUGGUCUUAGGACCAACUACACGAAGUUGUUGUUUGUGGUCUUUGUCUGGAGGCCAGCAGGAAACCUUUAUACCUUCGACCUGAGCUCAGGCAAGAUUACCCGCUGAACUUAAGCAUAUCAAUAAGCGGAGGA
rnacentral:misc_RNA from 1 species